GGGGAGGGUGCUUGGGUGCUUGGGAUCGUAGGACCACGGCGGUGGGGUAGGAAGGGGCGGGGGGUAGGGGGCGCGGCGCUCGGGGAGGGAGGAGAAACAACGGUGGCGACAGAGAGGAGAAGGAGGGACGAGAUCGGGGAGGUCCAGCAGCGAGCGCCACCAAGGUCUAGGACGCGACCAGCAGGGGUACCCACUCCUCCCCUCCAACCCAGAAGUUCCAACCGCCUCCACGUCCCCUCUGGCUGUCGUACCCCUCGUCACUCGGUCCUCGGUCCCUGUCCGGUUGCAGCCCCUGUUCUUCGUCGCCCCGGUCGCCAGGCAGCGCCACCAAACCUCCCUCUCCCUCUCCCUCAUCCAGCCGGUGCUCUCUUCUCGUCCGGCCGGGACGGAGCAGUACCUCCUACAGGUCGACGAGCAGGAGGAGCCGGAGAAGAGGUUCGCAGGUAGGAUAGCGUUGAGUCGAAGUCCUUGUGUCCAACGUUAAGGUCAAAGUAGCUGCCUGAGCGAGCGACGAGAUCUUCCACGAAACCGAACAAAGAGACUGGCUAAAUAACCCUGUAGAGUGUACCUAGAAGUACGGAGUAUAUGGAUAAAAAAUAAGAGAGCAGUUAAGGUGUACAGACGAGCAGGUAACGUGCCAUGAUCUACCAGGGACAAUUCAAUUAAGCUCCAUGUAGGGUAGUCCUGAUAAUAAACUAAACAACCUAAUUAAAUAAAGUCUAUCGAAUGAGGUCCAACUUAGAGAAACAGUAACUUUGAAGUAACUCUUCUGUCUGUUGUUAUUUGAAACGUUUACGCUGGGAUCGACAAGGUUAUAUAACGGUAUAAUACCAAAACAAAAUAAAAAAUAACGAAGGAUAACAAACGAAACAAACUUGACGUAAAAUAUCGGUCCAAAAAAACAACGAAAAUAAAACAAAUCCACCCAAGAUUUGGUAAUUUCGUCUUUUGUAUGACAAAUAUUUUUCAUAUGUAUCAUAACAUCUAAAUACAAGUGGUUAAUAGGUCUUGCAACUGGACCUCAGGAGGAAAAUGUAUAAACCAGAAGAACCUUAGUUCGUUUUUAAUGAUUCUUCGUGUAUUGACUAAUGAAGAAGACGAAUCGGAGUAAAAACAGUACGUGUAUCCACCCAUUCCAAACUUAGAGAUAUUCUGAGUGUCAGUCCAUGCUGACCUCCGUAUAAUACAUUCACGUACAGAUGACAAUACUCCAAAGUCAAAAGCUGAGAUACGUUAAGAGCCACGUUCCCGGGGGCGAAGGAACAACACUGCAACGUCGGAGUGGCCGGGAAGACGUCCGUUCUCAAUACAGGUCUACUCGAUUGGGAAAUGAUAGGUUUGGAAGACUUCCAGUAAUCGAGACUAAGAAACCUUUUUUCCAACUCUCGAUAUGUGUUGUUGCGAUUUCUACCUCGCCGGACGGUACAUAAUCCCGUAUGUGUAAAGACAACCCUAAUACGCCAACUGUUAUAGUCCAUACAUGUUCGCGGAGACCGUAUGGGAGCUCUUUCUUUCGCUUCCUAUUUACCUCCGGUUCCUACCGACGGCAAAAAACAUAUAACACUACCGAAGUUGGGACUUUGUUCUUAUCUUCCCUCGGACUCUUGUGAGUCGAACGCGGUACCGUCAGACUGAUAAUGUUGUUCUGUCUUCUCUCGGCCUCUUGUGAGUCGAACGUGACACCCAACGGUUUAUAAAAAGUUAUAUCAUACCUGGGGGACACAAACGAGCUCACAUAACAUGUGGUUUUAGUACUCUCGAGGUGUGUAUUUAAAACGGGUCUGUAUGAUACAAGGAAGUUCACAUUCGUAAACUUUAAGAACUACGUAAACUCUGCCACCUUUGCUCUCUUCGACCCUAGCAUCGUGACUGGUACUGACACUAACGAUCUCGAGAUUCUCUAUCUGCCUCCAGAGUUGACCGACCCUUCUAAACUGUUCUCUACACCUCUACCCCGUGCCCCUCCCCUCCUGCUCAGCCGGACCUCCGGGGCCAACACCGAAGUUGAUCCGUCCGAACCCUGAGCGCCACCGCCCGCCGGAGUGCGACCUCGACCAGGACCGCCCGCCGGAGCCGGAGCAGGUGUGCCUGAAGAGGACCAACAACUUGGCCAACUCCCAGUAGGUUGAAGAACAAAUAGUCCAAUGACAAACUAUUUUACGUUCUAUAAAGACAAACCUUCCCAAAGGAUUGUAGGCCUGUCCAGUAUGAAAACGUUCUAUGUACGCUCCUAACGACACAGGUUGGACGUGUUCUUACGGUUCUUCAAGAGCCUCUGCAUUCGGUGCUGCAUACAAAGAUGGUACUAAAGGAAGUCAACCUAAAGCACCUAAAUCCACAACUUUUUAAUACCCGACACCUACCGACGAAGAAACACCGAAGGUUUAAAUUUUACAAACAAACUCUCAAUCAAAUCAAAGACAAUACCUAAGUGUCGAAGAAUGUACAUGGUAGGAGAAUCUGCAAAUCUAAAGGUUUCUUUGUUUUACUUCUAUAGUACCUUACCAGAGUUAUCAUAUCGAAUUUCGAAAAGUACGAAAUAUAAAAGAAACUUUAAACGAACACUUCUUAGUACAUAGAUACAAUCUAAACCACUCUUUUCUGUAAAAGGUUCGUCUCCUACGCACUCACAACCGG
rnacentral:rRNA from 1 species